rnacentral:lncRNA from 1 species
UAGAAUCCUGCUUGAUCUCCACGUCUUGUUUCCUUGCGCGAAACUCGGGCUGUCGGAUCAAGCCUUGAACUCGUCUCGUAGUGGGCCCAGCUUCCUAGCUGAAGUCUAGCCGUAAUGGUAUAGGGGUUUAUACCCCCACAGGUUGAUUAACCAAUUUUCAUGUGGGGGUGUGGAUGCAUUAUGAUUUCCCGUCCCUUUCGUUGAUUGUUUUAUGUGAUGGAGCCGUUCGUUCGUUAGUUAGUUAGUGCCCUUGGAAAUGGGUUGUGAAAGCUGGAUUGUGGAAGUGGAUCGGUUGGAUACUUGGAUCCACCAGACAGUACGGUCAAGGUGCCAUACGCGUGGCAUGUACAAAUAAUCAGCUUGAAACCUAAGUAUAAUAACUAACCAGGCCUAAGCCUAAGCUGUCAUACGCGUGGCAUGUAUACCUUCUUUAGCUUUCCUCGAAACCCCUUGCAUUGGAGGAGACUAUAGUGGACUUGCUUCAAGACAAUUUAGCUAAUACAAAAGUGCUUGUGGAGCUUCAACAUUUGCUUCUUAGAAAGCUUAAAAAGGUAGUAGAAGCUAAUUUUUUAAAAAAGGUAAAGCAUCCUCAAACAGGGUAGUUUCUUUAGCGGAUAAAAACUGCACUUUGUACUAAAAGCAGAACAGCUUCUUGAGAUUCUCUAAAAAACUUCUCUAUAGAAGGUGCCUUUGGAAAAGCUAUAGGCCUAUAGCCCUCCCCCCACCCCCCAAAAAAAAAACAGGACUUGCAUAACACAAAAAAAAUAUCAAAUAAGCAUUAAGUGCAAUAAAACAAACCAUUUAUAGGAUAAAUAAAAGAUCAGCGCCCAUACUGAUUAAAUAUAAUAUUGAAUAGGAAGGUAAACAAGUUCACAACACAACAAAAAGAAAAGAAAAAACAAAUGAACUAUUGAAGGAUAUUUAGUCAUAUUAAAAUUUCAGGAAAGUACCUACUUUUUACUCAGAUGAAGAAGCAAGCAAAGUCAGGUUGUAUGUUGAAUAAAAAAACUAGGGAAGAGAUCUAAUGGUUAUAUUAGAAAGAAGAAGAAAUUCAAACUAGGCCUUAACAACUACUACUUACAAGAUAACCUAACAACUAUAAGCAAAUAGAAAUAGUAGUCGAUUAGAUUGGACCUCAACACACGCCACAUAACACUGUCUUGCCACAAACUCUUCACGCUCCACUUAAUGACUCAACACCCGGUACUCUUGCUCCAUAGCACCACACCACCACUAGUUGUCUAGAUGACAAAUCCAUCAAGUCAUCAUCAUCGCUUGCGCCAUUGUCACCAAUGAUAGUUUUGCACUAUUCCAAAGCACUAACAUGUAGAGCAAGCGAUCGCAGUCCACUACAAGCCAUAUAGCCUGCACAUCAUCAACCUUGCUUUGUGCUACCCAUUGACAUUGUCGCAAACCACCAAGCCAAUAUGUGAGCAACUCAGAGAGAAAAGUUCUAUUGGAACAGAUAUAGAAUAAGUCUCAAAGAAGUUAAAAUGGAUGAGAUCAAACUUUAGAUGAAGUAAGAAUUGAAUUAUAAAGUGCAGCAAAUUAGUUGGUCAAGGACACCAGAUAGUCUAGUGACCUUGUGUCAUAGUAAGUGUUUGGCAAUAAUGUCACUCACCGUGGCGAAGCUAGAGCAAAUAAGAGGGUGGUGCAUUUCUCUUAUAGAUAGAUAAACUCGGGCUAUAAUCAUGGUGAAAAAUUGAUUUACUCAGUGGUGUUUAAUUUUUUCAUGGUGCAUGUGCACCCACUAUCUUGUAUAUAGCUUCGCCACUAACUCACUAGACAACACGGAGAAGGGUUAUGUGUGGACCGAUGGAUGAUCCGAUGAUAGUGU